CUGUUGGUCGGCCAAUAUUGGAUAGUCAACUAGCGCACUGGGUAACUCGAAUAUCUAAUAUAAGAAUAGCUGCCCCGUUCUCAAAAAGAAGCAUGGAAAGAGCUGUGAAUCAGAAAGAUAAGUUGAAGUUGCGUAAACUCACUCUACUUAAAGGUUUUAUAGGUACUUAUUCAAGUAUGGGAUGUAAGAUGACAAGUAUGUGUGGUAAGAUGACUCUACAAACGAAGACAGAGAGUGGCUACCCCUGCGAAGGUUAAAGAGGUUAAGUUGCCUGUUCUGCUUGAAGGAAUAGGGAGAAGGUACUCGACCAACUAAUCUGUAUUGGGUAUAACGUGAUAGUAGACUCCAUAUAUCCUAUUUGAAAUAGUGCUUCCUGCCCGUGACGAGUAAGAAAAGAAAUGAACCGUGUGGUAAGCCACAUCCCUCUAUAUUCCUCCUAUGCUUAUCUUAUGUGACGCUUGUCCUCUACUUCUGAUGAACGAAAGCGUUCGGCUAAUCUGCUCAAGCAAGUGAGAAAUAGGACUCAUUUUUCACUACGUAAUUAGACAAGAUACUUUUUGUGGUUCCUGGAAUCCAUAGGGUCAAUAAAUGUGCCAUGUCGCCUUUGAAGGCGUAGUGUAGACUAUUUUCAUUCCACUUUCAUAUUUCUACACUGUCCUUUCGCGCUACACUAGGACGCUUAUAUCCGUUGCUUGCAUUCUUCCUUCCUCUCUAUUUGAUUUGCUUCCUUUGAAGUUUGAGCUUUGCCAUCUUUUACAUUGUCCUGUGCCCUUGUCUUUUGCUCUAUGGCAUCAAAGGAUGCGCCUACUCAGGGCGUUCAAAGCAGCGUGGUAGAUCAGGUUAUAUAAUAAGGGAAGCCUUAAGAAAGCGUCAAUUCUCGUCAAUCAGGAUCGGGGCUCAGGCUACCCAUGUACAACCUCCACAGAUUGCAAAACGGAAGGAGAACUCACUGUCCAAAUGGAGGGACAGGGGAUCGGAGAGAAGUAAACUCCGGACAUCUUUUUUCCGAAGAACUCCUCACAUGGUCAGUGAAGGUAUUCCCUACCAAGUUGAUAUACCUAAAAAAGAAAGAAAUGCACAUCCCGAAGUCGAAAAGGAUAGGGAGAUUGAAAAAGAAAAGGAUGCAAUGAUGAAUACACAGGAGGAUCAGACGAAGAAUCGCGAUCUAUGGCAAUUCUAGUUUCAACAGAAGGUCGUCAGUUCCAGUCAUCUCAUUGAUGCUCAUCACCUGUCACAACUCUCGAUAAAUGUCUUUCUUUGAAUGUCUUUGACUAAAAUAUCUACUUUCAUUCAACUUUAGAGAAGUCUAGUCCUUAUGCGCUAGUGCGCUCAUCCGUUACUUCAAGUGCUUUCCCUUGAGCUAAUCCUCUUGCAGGAGCGAGGACAGUUCGAGCGUUAGAAGUAGCUGAGUCAAGGUAGCAUUCCCUGUUAGCACUACUCGCCGUAUAGAGAUUUGACUUUCACGGGCUUUGCUUUGACACGUGCCCCCUUGCUUUUAGGAAUUAAAGACCCGUGCAUUAAAGAUAUAAGGGAUGAGGCUUUCGAUCAAAAAAGCGGGGACUCCCAGAAGGAGAACAGAUUUACUUCGGGUGUUGUGCUCUUGCCUCCAGUUCUUCACAGGAGAGAGGGUAGCUCUGCAUCUAUUUCUGUUGAUUCCCUUGGUUUAGUCCCUUGAAGAAGGUAGGGCAGAAGGUUUAGGAUCACAAAGAGAAUCUGGAUAAGAAGAUUCGACUGAAAGGUCUGUGAUUAAAGCUUUCUUUCAAGGAAUGCAGCUACUCGGCUAACUAGGAUCGUAGUUUCACUUAAUAGGGUUCGGCGGAGAAGACAUAGAUUCCUGGAACGAAGCUAAAGGUAUUCGCUUAUAAUCAACAAUUAAUGUGGCUUUUUUCCCUCUAUUUUAUCAUGCCUCGAAGUUUACCCUUUUUUCACGUUCUCCAUACUCUAAAAGUGAGUGAAUCACUUCCAACUGAAUAAGAUGGGAUUGGAAUCCCUUUUUUGUAGAGUCCACCAUGGGAAAAUCAUACCCAAUGUGAUAGGAGUACCUAGUCCCCUGGUUAGUAGUUGUUUAGCUCUAUCUCCGCCCCGUAAUAUGGUUUAAUCGCUAAUUUUUUUUUGUUCAUGGGCCUAUUCUCUUUCUCCUUCCCUUGCUUGUUCUCGCGUAGUGGGAAGUUCUCCAUUCCGCCU
rnacentral:lncRNA from 1 species